AGCCUGGCUCUGGUGUUUCUGCUGAAACUUGGAGAGACCACCUCUGGCCCCUUUCACCAUAUAUUUGCAGUUGUGGAAUUCAAUUCGUCAUAAUCUGUCCCUACACAGCAAGUUCAUUCGUGUGCAGAAUGAAGGAACUGGAAAAAGUUCUUGGUGGAUGCUC
rnacentral:sRNA from 1 species